AAAAAGGAAAGAAAAAAAAGGGAAUCCGUGAGAUUGGGUUGUUUGCCGCCGAUCUUACUAGAGGAACUCGUCGCCGGAGGUAAGGUGAGCACCUUCUCCUCCUUCUCCUUUGUCUUUGGGCCACUGUCGCCUUGGAAUCCGGCUGGCAAGCCGCCGGACUAAUGGGAAAAGCCGAGUCUCUGUUCCGCCUUUUCCUCUUCCGUUCCGGCCGGCCGUCGCUGGGCGUGGCACCACCGGCACCACCAUGGGCCGACGACCAUAGGGCGUCGCCGGCCAUGGGCCGCCUGCUGCCGAGCACUCUCGACGGGAAGGAGGAAGGAAGAGAGGGAGAGAGAGAGAGAGCCAACUCUCUCUCUUCUUGGCUAUUUUAUUGACGGGAAGGAGGAAGGAAGAGAGGGAGAGAGGGAGAGAGAGAGUUGGUUAUUUUAUCUUCUCUCUCUAGUUGUUGUCUCUUAUUAGUCUAUUUUCUCUCUAGUUUAAUUUAGGGAGAUCAUGGAUUGUUGGUUAGUCUUGGGGUACUAGAUACUUGUAGACCCUUGAGAGGAUCCAUAGAGAGUUUUGGGUUGUCAGAUAUCUUGGGUAAUUUUUAAUAUCGUCUUGGUUCUGUAGGAGAAUAAUCCAUUGGACGAAAGGAUGUUGAGCGGAGUUCUGCGCAUCCCAGUUUCUAAAUCGCCGUGAGGGCGGGUGAUUAGUCUAUCUGAGUUUUUCAACAAAGGGUAAGAAUCCUUGUACGCCAAUC
rnacentral:lncRNA from 1 species